rnacentral:lncRNA from 1 species
GACUUAGCCUAAGCCUCGCUCAGGAGAGGAGCAGUCUUCUCUCUGCCCUUGGAGCUGCUCUCUUGCUUCCCCGCCCAUCUGUGCUGUCAGCAGCACCAGCAAAGUUGGCCUCAAACUUGAAGGGACCUGAAGGCUCCGGCUUCCUCUGAACUCGGCUGGCCUGGAGAAGCCGAGCCUCCCAUUCCCCCGCUGGCCCUCGCUCUCCUGGGUGACGCCUCUGCCCCUGACCUGUAGGCCCCCAGACUGGGCUGAGGAAUGGUGCGCUGAGCUCCCGCUGGAGCCCCUCUUCCCGGCCUGGAGCUGGAGCAGCCCAAGGCCCAGGCCAGCAUGGCCAACCCCGGGCAGCCUCCGCUUUGCCCGGCACAGGAGCCAGGCACCGCCUCUCCCCCAGACCUGCCAGAGAUGCAGACGCUCCUCGCCAAGGUGGGGGACCAGGAUGACGUGCCCCUGAAGGCGGCCAAGUCCCUCUCGGGGGCCCUGGACCUGGAGCACAACGGCCACGGCCUGCCCUUCAAGGUGAUGUCCGAGGGGCCCCGGGAGGCCUCGCUCCCGCGGUCGUCCUCCCGGGCCAGCUCGAGGCGGGCGUCCUCCAUCGCCACCACCUCCUAUGCCCAGGACAGAGACGUCCCCAAAGAUUACCUCGUCCUCGCCAUCGCCUCCUGCUUCUGCCCCGUCUGGCCUCUCAACCUCAUCCCCCUCAUCUUUUCCAUCAUGUCUCGAAGUAGCGUGCAGCAGGGGGACCUGGACGGGGCCCGGAGGCUGGGCCGCCUGGCCCGGAUGCUCAGCAUCACCUUCAUCGUCAUGGGAAUCGUCAUUAUCCUGGUGGCCGUGACUGUCAACUUUGCAGUUCAGAAGAAAUAAAACUAACUAGAGGGAGCUGCUAGCAGAGGCAGGCCCCGGCCUGAGCGAGAACGCCCCACCCACACGCCCCACGUACCACGGAGGGCAGGACGGUGACUGCCACCUGCCCACCUGCCCCCUCCUGCUCCAAAAGCACUAACUUGGAGGGAAACCCCCAAGUCACCCUAUUGCCAGCCUGCACCAAACAGGAGAAAGUAGAGAAAGAAAGGAAGAGAGGAAGUGAAAUUGACUGUGAAACUAACCAAUACCGUGGUUUAAUCUCAUGGACAUGGCCUGGUAUUUUAACCCCAGGGUUCUGGCUGGUUUCUCAGCCCCCAAAUUUCCUGGGAUCUACCAAGCAGCAUAUACUGCCAGAGUGAGAAGAAACCAGCCCCACGAACACGACUGUGGUGGGGAGAGCGGUAGCACAGCCCCCACGUGUCUGACGACCAGCAGCAAAGACGUGGGACUUUAUCUUUUGUAUUUUUCUUCACGUGGGAUUGAAAAAAAAAAGACUGUUUGCAUGCCUUGUGCUACAUGCCUGCUGCAAUCCCAGCCAACACCCCAAGCUCAGAGGCCCAGCGGCUGCUCAGCACGUGCCCUGAAACCCCCUGGACCCACAGGACGGGCAGCUGCCCUGGGAAGAAGCGGUGGCCACACUGAAAUCCUCCACCCGGCACAGGGUGGGGGCCCCGGGAGCUAUGUUGGUGGAGCCAGGACUAGGGACAGCACGACCCAUAGACCUCAGUUCAGCCUCAGGAGCCUCUCUGCCAAGAUGCCUCGUGGUCCCUCCUGGGGCCACCAACCAAGAACUCAUGGACCUGACCCACCUCCAGGUCAGCUGGUGAAGAGGAACCCAGGCCUGAGCUCUCUUCCUGCCGUGGCCUCUCAGGCUGUCUGGGGCACAGACUCGGUGGUUCAUGCAAAGGAGUUCAGGGUCCCCGGGCAGAGUGGCUCAGGUGGGGAGUGGGCUCCCAGCUUCCAGCCCACUCCCCACCCAGCUGCAUAGGAUGCUCUGGACCCCAGCCUGCACCUCAGGCCAGCCACCAACAGCCAAGGCUUGCCCCGGGGCCACCCCUGGAGGGCAUUCCCAUGGGCUCCCAGGCCAUGAGGGGUAUUGCUGCCUCCUGCACGGGUGUGGGUUGAAGAAUUUUUACGACGGGUUUUCUGUUUAUUGGGUCUAGAGAGUUCCAAGGCAGGGGGAAGAGCUUGGCUGAAGGUCCUAUCUCUGGGUUUGGCACUCACAUGUCCAGAAUCAGGGGGCUUGACCUAACGGGACCCCUGGAAGAAAUGAAGCAGGACCCUUGAGCCUCCUCGCUGGUCUUGCCUGCUCCUGUUUCCCCUGCUGGCUUCAGCCUCCAAGUCCCGGAGAGGGUUGUGCCAGGCUUCCCCACCCUGCGAGGCCCCACCUGCAGCCAGGGUUCCAGGGGUCUUGGGAGGGCAGGGUCUCAGACUGGCC